GAUGAACGCUAGCGGCAGGCCUAACACAUGCAAGUCGAGGGGUAGAACACUUCGGUGUUUGGGACCGGCGCACGGGUGCGUAACGCGUAUGCAAUCUACCUUGUACAGGGGAAUAGCCCAGAGAAAUUUGGAUUAAUGCCCCAUAGUAUAUAACCUUCGCAUGUUGGUUAUAUUAAAGUUCCAACGGUACAAGAUGAGCAUGCGUCCCAUUAGUUAGUUGGUAAGUUAACGGCUUACCCAGACGAUGAUGGGUAGGGGUCCUGAGAGGGAGAUCCCCCACACGGGUACUGAGACACGGACCCGACGCCUACGGGAGGCAGCAGUGAGGAAUAGUGGUCAAUGGUUGCAAGACUGAACCAGCCAUGCCGCGUGCAGGAAGACGGUCCUAUGGAUUGUAAACUGCUUUUAUACAGGAAGAAACCCUCCCACGUGUGGGAGCUUGACGGUACUGUAGGAAUAAGGAUCGGCUAACUCCGUGCCAGCAGCCGCGGUAACAC
rnacentral:rRNA from 1 species